rnacentral:rRNA from 1 species
AGAGUUUGAUCAUGGCUCAGAGUGAACGCUGGCGGCGUGCCUAAUACAUGCAAGUCGAACGAUGAAGCUUCUAGCUUGCUAGAAGUGGAUUAGUGGCGCACGGGUGAGUAAGGUAUAGUUAAUCUGCCCUACACAAGAGGACAACAGUUGGAAACGACUGCUAAUACUCUAUACUCCUGCUUAACACAAGUUGAGUAGGGAAAGUUUUUCGGUGUAGGAUGAGACUAUAUAGUAUCAGCUAGUUGGUAAGGUAAUGGCUUACCAAGGCUAUGACGCUUAACUGGUCUGAGAGGAUGAUCAGUCACACUGGAACUGAGACACGGUCCAGACUCCUACGGGAGGCAGCAGUAGGGAAUAUUGCGCAAUGGGGGAAACCCUGACGCAGCAACGCCGCGUGGAGGAUGACACUUUUCGGAGCGUAAACUCCUUUUCUUAGGGAAGAAUUCUGACGGUACCUAAGGAAUAAGCACCGG